AUGUUAGCAAUUGCCGCAUUCUAUGAUUAUGAGAUAUGGCAAAUGGACGUCAAAACGGCAUUCCUUAACAGCUUUCUUAAGGAAGAAUUGUAUAUGAUGCAGCCAGAAGGUUUUGUCGAUCCUAAGAAUGCUAACAAGGUAUGCAAGCUCCAGUGCUCCAUCUAUGGGCUGGUGCAAGCAUCUCGGAGUUGGAACAUUCGCUUUGAUGAAAUGAUCAAAGCGUUUGGGUUUAUGCAGACUUAUGGAAAAGCCUGCGUUUACAAGAAAGUAAGUGGGAGCUCUGUAGCAUUUCUCAUAUUAUAUGUGGAUGACAUACUGUUGAUGGAAAAUGAUAUAUAA
rnacentral:rRNA from 1 species